AUUGAACGCUGGCGGCAUGCCUUACACAUGCAAGUCGAACGGUAACAGGUCUUCGGAUGCUGACGAGUGGCGAACGGGUGAGUAAUACAUCGGAACGUGCCUAGUAGUGGGGGAUAACUACUCGAAAGAGUGGCUAAUACCGCAUGAGAUCUACGGAUGAAAGCAGGGGAUCGCAAGACCUUGUGCUACUAGAGCGGCCGAUGGCAGAUUAGGUAGUUGGUGGGAUAAAAGCUUACCAAGCCGACGAUCUGUAGCUGGGCUGAGAGGACGAUCAGCCACACUGGGACAGAGACACGGCCCAGACUCCUAAGGGAGGCAGCAGUGGGGAAUUUUGGACAAUGGGCGAAAGCCUGAUCCAGCAAUGCCGCGUGCAGGAUGAAGGCCUUCGGGUUGUAAACUGCUUUUGUACGGAACGAAAAGCCCCGGGUUAAUACCCUGGGGUCAUGACGGUACCGUAAGAAUAAGCACCGGCUAACUACGUGCCAGCCGCCGCAGUAA
rnacentral:rRNA from 1 species